rnacentral:tRNA from 1 species
GCUACUCCUGAUAGCUCAGUUGGUUAGAGCGUGGUGCUCAUAAUGCCAAAGUUGCAGGUUUGAUCCGUGUAUGGGCAGCG